rnacentral:rRNA from 1 species
GAUGAACGCUGGCGGCGUGCCUAAUACAUGCAAGUCGAGCGAACGGACGAGAAGCUUGCGUCCCUGAUGUUAGCGGCGGACGGGUGAGUAACACGUGGAUAACCUACCUAUAAGACUGGGAUAACUUCGGGAAACCGUAGCUAAUACCGGAUAAUAUUUUGAACCGCAUGGUUCAAAAGUGAAAGACGGUCUUGCUGUCACUUAUAGAUGGAUCCGCGCUGCAUUAGCUAGUUGGUAAGGUAACGGCUUACCAAGGCAACGAUGCAUAGCCGACCUGAGAGGGUGAUCGGCCACACUGGAACUGAGACACGGUCCAGACUCCUACGGGAGGCAGCAGUAGGGAAUCUUCCGCAAUGGGCGCAAGCCUGACGGAGCAACGCCGCGUGAGUGAUGAAGGUCUUCGGAUCGUAAAACUCUUUUAUUAGGGAAGAACAUAUGUGUAAGUAACUGUGCACAUCUUGACGGUACCUAAACAGAAAGCCCCGGCUAACUACGUG